UUCUCUAGAAAAAGAAAACAAGGAAAAAGUUAAGAGAGUCACAUCUCUGCAAUGUCCGAUGAAGCUACUGUCUCCUCAGGUCACCCGUUAUUUAUUCUUCACCAUUCAACUCGCUCCCAACUCGGUCACUGCUUUUUCAACUAAGGUUCAUAUUUGUGCUGAAUGGUGGUGGCAAUAGGUUCAGUUCGGUUCCAAUGGUACUUUAUAUCAAAGUGUCAAGGGAUAUGAUUUUAAAUCAGUUACAGAAAUGCUUGCAAUUAAGAAGACUUCGUAAACAUUAAAAUCAUCAAACAUAGAUAGUAUGAGAAAGGGUUUCCAAGAAGCUCCUGUCAAAGGAAGAUUCUAUCGAUUCUGUUAUUCUUUUUAGGAAACGAGGGAGACCUAGAAAAAACAUUGUGAAAAGUGAUUCAACUGAUAUUAAAGCAACGAGGUGAACAGCCUACUGGUCUCCUAUACCGUAGUGCCAAGGAAUCUGGCUUUAAGUGGGUUGCAGAAAUGCUUGCUACGAAGAAGAAUUUAGAAACAUCAAAUCCAUUAAAUGAGGGUAAUAUGAAAAAGGGAAACUUGGAAAGGAACAUUUUUCAGAUACAAAUGAUGUCACUGAAGUUUGUACCAAAGAAGAUGGUGGUGAUAAUGUUGGUGUCAUGUUUCAAUGAGAGAUAGAAAGGCCUCCAAAUAUUGGAAUGAACUUAGAGAGCAAAACAAUUGGCAUGAAGUUAAAAGAAAUAUUUGGGAAGUUAUCACCCAAAGAGGUUGGGAAUGUGAUGCAACUUUUAGAGUUUUGCAUAGUACGUUUGGAAAGGCUCUUGAUCUCUAGGAAGGUGAAGGUGAAGCCAUUUUUGAAGAAUUGAUCAUUAAAGAAAUAAAGAAAGUAGGGAUGAACAUAAUUCUUUACUGAUUCAAUUUCACAUUAGAUUGUUGGUGUUGAUCCUAAACUAUUCGAAAAAAGAGUUUUCAUCCUUAUCAACCAAGAAUGAUAUGGUGGCCAUUUUGAUCAAAGUGAGGGUAGGUUCCUCCUUUGUUUUUGAACUCCAAGGGACC